rnacentral:rRNA from 1 species
AUGGCGGCAUCCACAGCGUCGUCUAGCCCCUUGACGGCCUUCCUCCAUCGGCACGACGAACGGAGCCGACGUCGCGCAAGGUUCGUCGUCGCGGCAAGCACGGCGGACGCCGAACCAUCCCCAGAGGCUACAGCCGCGGCGUCGACGGCAGGGCCCGGGAUGAAGAAGACGGUGGACACGAGGAUACACUGGUCCGACCCGGACGAAGGGUGGGUGGGAGGAAAGGCUAAGAAGGAAGGCGACGGCCGCAAGGACGAGCCGAUGGGGCGACGAUUCGCCGACCUCAUCAACAACCCGUCCGAGUCACACUACCAGUUCCUAGGAAUAUCGCCUGGCGCGGACUUGGAGGAGAUCAAGGCGGCGUACCGGUGGCUGUCCAAGGAGUACCACCCGGACACGACGAGGCUGCCGCUCAAGUCGGCGUCGGAGAAGUUCAUCCGGCUCCGGGAGGUGUACAAGGUGCUGAGCAAGGAGGAGAGCCGCCGCUUCUACGACUGGACGCUGGCGCAGGAGGCCGAGAGCCGCCGGCUGCAGCAGCUCAGGUCCCGCCUCGAGGACCCCUACGAGCUCGACCUCCAGAACUACGAGCCCGUGCCCGACACAGUGGAUCGCCUUGGCGGGAAGAACAUGGAGCUCAGCGACCAGGCCAUGACAGCCCUCGCGUUCGACAUCGGCAUCAUCAUCUUCAGCAUCUGCUGCAUCAUCUACGCCCUCUUCUUCAAGGAGCAAUACUGA